UACGAAGGGGGCUAGCGUUGCUCGGAAUCACUGGGCGUAAAGCGCACGUAGGCGGUUUGCUAAGUCAGGGGUGAAAUCCUGGAGCUCAACUCCAGAACUGCCUUUGAUACUGGCGGUCUCGAGUCCGGGAGAGGUGAGUGGAACUGCGAGUGUAGAGGUGAAAUUCGUAGAUAUUCGCAAGAACACCAGUGGCGAAGGCGGCUCACUGGCCCGGUACUGACGCUGAGGUGCGAAAGCGUGGGGAGCAAACAGG
rnacentral:rRNA from 1 species